GUUGUUUCUAUGGGUUUUGGCUGAAGAUCAUUAUCUGUUCAUACCAUUUAAUAUCUCGUAAAUUCUCUACCUGAGGAUGCUUUUAUUAAGUGGAAUUUUGGAACAGGGAGAUGAACUCGAGGCUCACUCUAUCCAUUCCCCAUGUCCACCAGAUGCUGCAGUUCCUCCGUGAAUGGUGUGGUUCUU
ensembl:snRNA U2 U2 spliceosomal RNA